rnacentral:lncRNA from 1 species
GGCUCCUCAAUAACUCUAAAGUUUUAUUGAUGUUCAAUAUUCACAUAUAAGUUAUUCAAAAGCACAGUGCUCUGUACAUUUGUUUUGACAAUUUGACAAUCUGUACAUUAGAUUUCAUUUCUCCCUUCAUUAUGACUAGGAUUUGCAUUAGGUUGGCAUGAGACUGCCCUCCUGUGGUCACAUGUGCAACCUUCAGCAUGCCCACCUUCCUGUAUUUUUCAGCAAACUGCUUGUCAAAAUGAAAGCAAGAUCAAAUCCAUCUAAAAUUAAACCAGUAUCACAAGCAUUGAAAUCAUCAAUUCAAAGAGCUAAACUGCCGGUACUUACAGCAAAUGAAUAUGUACAUAAAGUAUUUGACUCUGUAUUUAUUAUAUAAUUCUAUCCAGAGAAAGAGUUAGGAACACAACCCAGCUGUAUGAGCAGAUGUUCAGCCUGUUAACGUGAACAUCUUCUGUUUCCACCAGUCAGUCAGUCAAGUCCUGUAUGAACAGCUGCUCUCUGACUCCUUGCAGCUCUGCAGUGUAGCAUGCUACAGUAUCCUCAUCUUCAUCCUAACUCCUCUCACCUGGGAAUUCACAAAGAAAAUACUCGCAAAAUAUGAAAUAAAGCUGUGAAGAACGCAUAGGUGUAUUGUCCAUAAAGUGUGGUACUCUGAGUCUACAGCCUGCAUGCCUUACACCGGGAGAUAUCUUACAGCCAGGGGGUGGCUUUGUGUGUGUAAACAUGUAUUGUGCGGCUAUUAUCCCAUGUGUGACUCACAUCUUUGUAUUCUUUCUCAGUGAUGGUGCCAUUGAUUGUGCAGGCCUCUCUUCCCUCUGUAUAGAGGAGGAUCGAUGUGAAAGCACAUUGUCAAAGGGUUAAUUUCAAGGUAAGGACAUUCAGGCUUAAAAACAAAUCAGCAAAGCCGCAAAAAAAACAGUGAGAGAAACAAAUUGCCUUCUUUCACCUGUCCGGUGUGUGUGUCCCUUGGUCUGGGGGCUGGUUGGGUGUGGUCAGGAGGCGGGGGGUUGAGCCCUAGGCCAGGCUCACUGAGUCUUUGCCGGAUGAGUCGUAGUUCUUCAGUCCAGGGCGGCUGGCUGGGGUCUGAGUUAAAAGCUGAUGGGUCAGUGGUGGAGGAUGUACCAGGGUCUUCAGGUGAAGGGCAGAGGCCAGGGAUGGAGGUGGGUGGCACACCAAGCAGAUAGCCCAUGGCACUCACAAUGGCAUGGAUGAGCUCCGGACUGCUGGGGCCAGGUCUGGAGCGGGGGGACAGGGGAGGGGACACUGACUCCUGAGGGACCUUCUGUGUUGUAGGGGGGGAUCUGAUGUGCUGAGAGUCUGUCUUCUCUCCUGGUACUUUAGCUACAGUAUGGAGAGAACAGAAAGCAGAAAGAUAAGUAGCUAUUCAAAAUGAACACAUACACACUCACUUCUACCCAUGUCUCCACCCAUCACACACCAGAUUCUGUAGAAUGACUACUAUUACAUAGCAACAAAAGUAUACUCUUUCACAUACUGAAUCCAUAUUAACUUACAUUUAGUCUGAGCUGAGGGUGAGUGUGUGCCUUUGAUAUUUUUGGAGUAUGACUGCGGGCCAUUUCUCACAGGUGGAGGAUUCUGGCAGGGUGAGGGUACAUUUGGCCAACUCUUGUGAGAGGUAGAGGGUUUUUGAGUUGGGGCCCAUGGUAUUUUGACUUUAGUUCUAAAGUCCUCCUGUCCUGUAGUAGUCUUGUCUUUCUUUCUAAAGCAUUCUUUAGGAUGAUCCUCCCUGCUUGGCUGUGGAAUUGGGCCCCGUGCUGGGUGAGGGUGUCUCGGUGAGGGUGGACACCUUUCCCUCUCCCAUCUCUCCCUCUCUCGCUCCCAUCUCUUCCUGUCCAUCUCUCUCUCCCUGUCCCUCUCUCUCUCUCUGUCCUUCUUUCCCUCCCAUGGUAGUUUGGCAGAAGAUGAGGCUUUACUCAGAGAACUCCUGGUCUGAGAUGGACAGUCAUGGGAGGUUGCCAGGCCCCUAGAAGUGGGGGUAGUUGUUAGAUUCCCCUCACUUCCCCGGAAAGGAGUACCAGCACCCCUAUAGUUCGGUGAAAUCCCUGUUGGUUUGCUCAUGGGGGAGUAGCUCUUUGGCCUGGGUGUGUCUGGUUUCUGGAAACCUUGACUAAUCUUUAGCUCUAAACUCCUGCCCAGGAUUGAGGUUGAGGCUGCAGGUCUCCCUUCUGGGUUGUUGAUGGAGGUGUUGGAAGUGGACUGCAUAGAUGGUCUCUGAUCCUGGAUCGGAUCUCGGAUCCUCGGAUCCUGGGUGAAUCUGUGAAGAACACUAGUCUGAGGCUUCUUGGGGGAGCGGGUCUUGGGAGAGGGGGUCUUGGAUGAAGGGGUCUUGGGGGAUUGGGUCUUGGAUGAAGGGGUCUUAAACAGCCUAUGUGUGUCAGUCGGCACCCCAUUCAAUUCGCUGGAGGGUUUAGCCACCACAGGCCUCUGCUGAUAAAGGCCUGUAAAUACCUGCUUCAAUCUUCUAAGGCUAGGAAGGGGAGGUCUCUCUUUCCUCCCACUCUCCUCCUUUGGUUUUGGCACACAAGCAGUGUUUGCAGAACCUAUAGUUUUAAGACUAGGGUCACAAGGAGGAGAAGUCUUGUUGGUUGGCCGGCUCCCUCCAGCACUUUUUUUUGUAGUUUUUGUGGAUAGAACAUGUUGUGACACUGCAGAGUCUGCCUUACUACUAACAACACUCUGAGGUUUUGAUGGUCUCUUGAAAUUACACUCAGUUUUGUAUGUUUGCUUCUCUGGCAAAGAAGGUGCAGGUGUUAAUUUAGGUGAAUCAGAGGUCUUGGUUUUAGGAUUUUUCUUAGGACUUGUCUUAUCUUGAGACUUGUGUUUCUGAUGUGCUGUGGUUGAUUGAGGAGAUGACUUCUCAGGGCUUUUAAGUGGACUGCUUUUGAGCUGUGGUACAUCAUAAGGGUAGGAAAAUAUGGAGGUGAGUGUUAGCUUACUGCCUGGGAUGGGGGUCCCACGGUCUAGCUCAGUUGAAGAAACAUCAGGUGAGGCUGAUGAUUUCAUUGGUUUUUCUAGUCGUGGGUCAGCUUGUGGAAUCUUAGAUUCUUUCAGAGUGGGACUGGCAUGUGAUGAUAUGGAAGUCUUCGCUCUGGCAGGAGAACAUUUCUCAGUCGUUUCCUUUGGUGUUGAAGUCUUCUUCAUUUCACUGCUCCUUCUCAUCUCAGAAUCAUCUUUCUUCGCUGUAUCUCUUUUAAUAUUGAACAUGUCUGGGUAUGGAGUGUUGUCCGCUUGGCAUCUAGCUUUAGGGCUGGUUACUGAGUCUUCAGGGUUGGAACUGGUUACUGUCCCUUUAGCUAUUGGUGGACAGCUCUCCAGCCCACAACAUGUAGUCCUACUUCCUGAGAUGUUACUCCUGGUGUGGAACGAUGCCUCCCUGUGAAAAGUUCCAUGUUGUGGGGUGCAAGGGGCACUGGAGGUGAAUAACGUGGUGCGUACUGGGGUGCUUGGGGCACUGGAAGAUGUCACCUGACUUUGUACUGGGGUGCUUGGGGCACUGGAAGAUGUCACCUGACUUCGUAAUGGGGUGCCAGGGGCACUGGAAGAUGUCAUCUGACUUCGUAAUGGGGUGCCAGGGGCACUGGAAGAUGUCACCUGACUUUGUACUGGGGUGCCAGGGGCACUGGAAGAUGUCACCUGACUUUGUACUGGGGUGCCAGGGGCACUGGAAGAUGUCACCUGACUUUGUACUGGGGUGCCAGGGGCACUGGAAGAUGUCACCUGACUUUGUAAUGGGGUGCCAGGGGCACUGGAAGAUGUCACCUGACUUCGUAAUGGGGU